rnacentral:rRNA from 1 species
AGUGAACGCUGGCGGUAGGCCUAACACAUGCGAGUCGAACGGCAGCACAGUAAGAGCUUGCUCUUACGGGUGGCGAGUGGCGGACGGGUGAGGAAUACAUCGGAAUCUACUUUUUCGUGGGGGAUAACGUAGGGAAACUUACGCUAAUACCGCAUACGACCUACGGGUGAAAGCAGGGGAUCUUCGGACCUUGCGCGAUUGAAUGAGCCGAUGUCGGAUUAGCAAGUUGGCGGGGUAAAGGCCCACCAAGGCGACGAUCCGUAGCUGGGCUGAGAGGAUGAUCAGCCACACUGGAACUGAGACACGGUCCAGACUCCUACGGGAGGCAGCAGUGGGGAAUAUUGGACAAUGGGCGCAAGCCUGAUCCAGCCAUACCGCGUGGGUGAAGAAGGCCUUCGGGUUGUAAAGCCCUUUUGUUGGGAAAGAAAAGCAGCAGGUUAAUACCCCGCUGUUCUGACGGUACCCAAAGAAUAAGCACCGGCUAACUUCGUG